AACGUAGGACGCAAGCGUUAUCCGGAGUUACUGGGCGUAAAGCGCGAGCAGGCGGCUCGACAAGUUCGAUGUGAAAGCGCCCCGGCUCAACCGGGCGAGGCCAUUGGAAACUAUCGAGCUGGAGGGCAGUAGAGGCAGGCGGAAUUCCGGGUGGAGUGGUGAAAUGCGUAGAGAUCCGGAGGAACACCAGAGGCGAAGGCGGCCUGCUGGGCUGCACCUGACGCUGAGCCGCGAAAGCCAGGGGAGCGAACGGG
rnacentral:rRNA from 1 species